AGCGAGAGAUCUCAGGAUGUGGAAGUCAGAGCGCCACCUGUCGUUCACCUGGGCGAAGGGCGUCAGCAGGGAGAUCAGUGGUGUCAUGUUGGAAUUCACAAACCCACCGCCGGGAUAUCGACAUCCGUGAUCCUGCACGAGUUCAUGCCAGGCAGACGGAGAGAUGGCCACCGCAUUUAUAUGUACUUUAUGGAGCUUUCCCCACAACAAUAUGGCCGCCACAGUACUUAUUGGGAAGGACCUCUACCAUGUAAAGCACUGAGAACUGACUCCUGAUCCCUAGGAGACGCUACAGACGCAUGCGCGGAACGCCGUCGACGCAUGCGCACUAGUAAACCGGAAGUGGGGCGGAAGUAUCCGGAGACACGUGACCCGCUACCUCCGUCACCGGAAGUGUGGCGGAAAUGCCGCACUUCACUGCAUAUUUACAGUUUUGAACCUUUAAACACUUUUUGGAGCUUUAUAAAACAUCCGUUUUUCAUGUACAUGCACCUUUAGUGAUCCCCAUUGCCUGGGGCCACGUUCUAAAUAGUGUCCUUGACUGUCUGUAGAUUAAAUGUUUUUAACAAGUCAUGAUCAAUUGUGACAUCACAACCCCUGAGCUAGCAUACCAGGGCUAAAAAUAGGCAUGUUAUUUUACUCUGUCCCUACCCUUUGAAGAAGUCUGGUGUGACGAAACGCUUUGGGUUCCCUGCAGUGACCCCCCUUGCCUAUCUUAAAAGUUAAGUCAGAAUUCCUUACCUUUUACAAAGACUUUUAUGCUUUUACCAGUGCUUGUGAAUUUUUUAUGUUUUAUUCCACUUUUGUAUAUUAUUAAAAAAACUUGUUUGUUAA